AUGGCAGAUCCACUAGAUUCUGGCUUCACUGGUGGUGCGGUUCGACCAUGCUGGCAAAUUCUUUUCCUGUUCUUUUUUCAUAUUGUCCUAACCCUGAGAUCUCAAUCUUUGAGCUCGCUGCCAAUAAUUGGGACCUGCAACUGCGUCGCUCUCUGUCUCCUGAAGAGUUGGUUGACUGACAGCGCCUUGUUGCCUUCUUCCCUGUGCUCUCGGAGGAGGAGGACUCGGUGGUGUGGUCUCACUCCCCUUCCGGCCGUUCUUUCUGUGAAAUCAUUAUAUGGUAAACUGAUCUCUAGCUCCACCACUUCCAAAUUCAAGUGGAUCUGGAGGGCUCGUAUCCCUCCUAAGAUCAAGAUUUUCCUCUGGCAAGCUUCUCGCGGGCGGUUGCCGGCUGGUGAUCAGAUCCGCAAACGUAAUGGCCCUGGAUCUGACCGUUGCGCCCUUUGUGGGCUAAGAGAAGACACGAUGCAUGUGUUCUUUAAUUGUGUUCUGGCUAAACUCUUCUGGUGUUGUAUCAGAUCUUGGUUGCAUGUUUCCUGGAGACCAUCCUCUUUCUCAGACCUUCGACUCUUGGCUAACAACCUGGUUGGGGCCCAGAGGGGAAUGUUUUGGGUGGGCUUGGCAGCGAUGUGCUGGACUCUCUGGACGACAAGAUUCUUUUUACUAUUGAACAUGUUUUUCCUGCUAAACCUGCUGAUUGCUUAUUUAAAACUUGCAUAUUCUUGCAGUAGUGGAGAUUAUUGA
rnacentral:rRNA from 1 species